rnacentral:rRNA from 1 species
CAGUCGCCGCGGUAAUACGAAGGGUGCAAGCGUUAAUCGGAAUUACUGGGCGUAAAGCGUGCGUAGGCGGUGAGUUAAGUCUGCUGUGAAAUCCCCGGGCUCAACCUUGGAAUGGCAGUGGAUACUGGCUCGCUAGAGUGUGUCAGAGGAUGGUGGAAUUCCCGGUGUAGCGGUGAGAUGCGUAGAGAUCGGGAGGAACAUCAGUGGCGAAGGCGGCCAUCUGGGACAACACUGACGCUGAGGCACGAAAGCGUGGGGAGCAAACAGGAUUAGAUACCCGCGUAGUCCCUGUCUCUUAUAC